rnacentral:rRNA from 1 species
UGGCAUAUGGACCGUACCCGAAACCGACACAGGUGGACUGGAUGAGUAUUCCAAGGCGCUUGAGAGAACCAUAUCGAAGGAACUAGGCAAAUUACCCGCGUAAGUUAGCGAUAAGCGGGACCCAUCUUUGGGCAACCAAGGGUGGGUGGCACAGACCAGGGGGUGGCGACUGUUUAGUAAAAACACAGGGCUCUGCGAAGUCGAGAGACGACGUAUAGGGUCUGACGCCUGCCCGGUGCCGGAAGGUCAAGGGGAGAUGUGCAAGCAUCGAACCGAAGCCCCGGUAAACGGCGGCCGUAACUAUAACGGUCCUAAGGUAGCGAAAUUCCUUGUCGGGUAAGUUCCGACCUGCACGAAUGGCGUAACGACCUCCCCACUGUCUCCGGUAUGGACUCAGCGAAAUUGAAUUCCCCGUGAAGAUGCGGGGUACCCGUGGUCAGACGGAAAGACCCUAUGAACCUUUACUGCAGCUUGGCAGUGGCGCCAGAAGAGGGCUGUGUAGGAUAGGUGGGAGCCAUUGAAACCGGGGCGCCAGCUUCGGUGGAGGCAACCUUGAAAUACCACCCUGCGCUCUUUUGGCGUCUAACCGAACCCGGUUAUCCCGGGUCGGGACCCUGCCUGGUGGGCAGUUUGACUGGGGCGGUCGCCUCCCAAAAGGUAACGGAGGCGCGCGAUGGUGGGCUCAAGCCGGUCGGACAUCGGCUGUUGAGUGCAAAGGCACAAGCCCGCCUGACUGCGAGCGCGACAGCGCGAGCAGGGACGAAAGUCGGCCUUAGUGAUCCGGUGGUCCCGCGUGGAAGGGCCAUCGCUCAACGGAUAAAAGGUACUCUAGGGAUAACAGGCUGAUCUCCCCCAAGAGUCCACAUCGACGGGGAGGUUUGGCACCUCGAUGUCGGCUCAUCGCAUCCCGGGGCUGGAGCAGGUCCCAAGGGUUCGGCUGUUCGCCGAUUAAAGCGGUACGUGAGCUGGGUUUAGAACGUCGUGAGACAGUUCGGUCCCUAUCUGCCAUGGGUGUUGGAGACUUGAGAGGAGCCGUCCCUAGUACGAGAGGACCGGGACGGACGCACCUCUGGUGCACCGGUUGUCGCGCCAGCGGCAUCGCCGGGUAGCCAAGUGCGGAAUGGAUAACCGCUGAAGGCAUCUAAGCGGGAAACCAGCCUCAAAACCAGGUCUCCCUAAGGGUCGUGCAAGACCAGCACGUCGAUAGGCCGCACGUAUAAGUGGGGUAACCCACUCAGCUAAGCGGUACUAAUCACCCGAA